rnacentral:tRNA from 1 species
GAGGGGAUAGCUCAGGGGUAGAGUGUGUGCUUAGCAUGCACGGGGUCCUCGGUUCAAUCCCCAGUACCUCCA